GGAGACCGGUCCCCGAACCCAAAAAUGGCCGAGUCGGGGCAGUGUAAAAGAAUAAAAGUUGAGGGGCUUAUUUGCACUUAUGCAACAUGUGGGGCUAUGUGGGGGGUAUGAGAGCUCUUUUCUCUCAUUUCUCACCCACACACCCUCUCAUAUCUCUCUUUCUCUCUCUAGAAGACAAGAAGAGGAAGAAGAAAGGAAAGGAAAGAAAGAGAAGAAGAAGGAGGUCUUCCUCAUCUUCUUCAUCUUCUCCUUGGUUGGAGCUUCUUGGAGAGGUAAGCUUCUAAGCUCUCUCUCAUGGUGGAUUUCUAGAGAUAGAUUUGAUUGCUCUAGAAAUGGAGUUUUGUAUUAUGUGAGGGCGUAGUACCUGCCAGUACAGGUAUAGAGCCAGAUGGCACUAGCGAAGUGCUAGAAGUAAUCUAUGGCGAGAAGUGAGACUCGCGGUAGAGAUAGAAGUGGCGAAAUGACUCUCAGAGCAAUAUGAGUAGUAAAUUGCGAGAGUUGAGCCAUGAUGCUUAUGAGAACACCCGAGUGGUCCGAAAAUUUCGGAUGUCAUUCCGGUAGAUCGAACAGU
rnacentral:lncRNA from 1 species